rnacentral:rRNA from 1 species
AACGAACGCUGGCGGCAUGCCUAACACAUGCAAGUCGAACGAGACCUUCGGGUCUAGUGGCGCACGGGUGCGUAACGCGUGGGAAUCUGCCCUUAGGUACGGAAUAACUCAGGGAAACUUGAGCUAAUACCGUAUAAUGACUCCGGUCCAAAGAUUUAUCGCCUAAGGAUGAGCCCGCGUCGGAUUAGCUAGUUGGUGAGGUAAAAGCUCACCAAGGCGACGAUCCGUAGCUGGCUGAGAGGAUGAUCAGCCACACUGGGACUGAGACACGGCCCAGACUCCUACGGGAGGCAGCAGUGGGGAAUAUUGGACAAUGGGCGAAAGCCUGAUCCAGCAAUGCCGCGUGAGUGAUGAAGGCCUUAGGGUUGUAAAGCUCUUUUACCCGGGAUGAUAAUGACAGUACCGGGAGAAUAAGCCCCGGCUAACUUCGUGCCAGCAGCCGCAGU